UCAAUUGGUGAGGUGCUUGCCUAGCGUGC
rnacentral:piRNA from 1 species